CUGCGGAGGGUGCAAGCGUUAUUCGGAAUCACUGGGCGUAAAGGACGCGUAGGCGGGUUGGCAAGUCAGAUGUGAAAUCCUACAGCUUAACUGUAGAACUGCAUUUGAAACUGCUAACCUAGAGUAUGGGAGGGGGAGAUGGAAUUAGUGGUGUAGGGGUAAAAUCCGUAGAUAUCACUAGGAAUACCGAAAGCGAAGGCGAUCUCCUGGAACAUAACUGACGCUAAGGCGUGAAAGCGUGGGGAGCAAACAGGAUUAGAAACCCUUGUAGUCC
rnacentral:rRNA from 1 species